CGUUAUAAAUGAACGCAACAUUUUCUUUAAACAUUUAAUUUUAAUUAAAGUAAAAAAAAAAAAAAAUGAUGCAUUUUGCAUCCACUUGCACACUUGUUUUUUGUUUACAAUUUUCGAUCUGACAACUGUCAUAUUCCUUCUACACGAGGAUGAGAGAGAGCGGGACGGCCAUAGUCCUUCUGACCAUGGUUCUCUCUGUCAUUUUCGUGAGGAAAAAAAAAUACCAAGUCUCGUUUCAGGUUUCAAAUAAGGAUGGUUUCCAUGGAAGUGAAACCAAACCAGAUGGACGGUCUGGUCCAGACGUAAAGUUUCAUGAGAAGUCACUCCAAGUGGAGAAUGGCCUACGGCCCAACUUUAACUCUUUAGAAAACUUUUUUUUGUAAAUUUAUAUUCUUUAAUUAUUAAUUUAAUUAAUUAAUUUAAUUAUUUUGUCCAUGUUGUUAAUCAUUUCUAACGUCAAGCAUAUUAAAAAAAAAAAAUUAUUGAAAGAAGAAUUGUAAUACAAAAAAAAAGAUUUCAUAAAUUUUUGGACGUUUAAGUUUCGGGAAACUUAGUUCGGGGUUUAAUUAACAGAUACCAAUUUGUAAUUAUCUUUUUUUCUUUCGCGCGGUUGUUUUGAAGAUAAAGUUAAAUUUAAAGUUAAAGUACAGAUUUUUCUCGAUCUUAAAUUUCAUAGUCAUUGUUCGAUAUCAAGGUAGAAAGUGGGGCUGGCUGAAUGCAGCUCCUGGAAUCGUCGUGACCUGGAACUGAAUCCAGCGGGCGGCGAAUUCCAGGAUGACUUGCAUUUAGCUGUGAGAAAAGAGCGAGUAAGCGGGAUCGCGAGAAUUUCAUCACAAGUUGAGAUCAACAUGCCGAUCUCCGAUUGGCUGUUGAUGAUGUGAUUGAAAUCCGCCACUCCAUAUUGGCUGAAAGCUAAAAUGGCGGGAGAGGUAAAGAAGAGAUAGGACAGAUCUUGAGAUCUGGCCGUCAAUUCUUGUCAAACUGUCAAGGAGUGCAGAUAACAAAAUUUUUUGAGAAAUUCGAACAAAGAGUGUGAAAAAAAAAGAUUGAGAAAAAAUUACAAAAAAAAAGUGUCGGGACUGAGGAAAAAUAAAGAAGAAAAAGGAAGUUAGUUGAGAAUAAGUUGCUAGUUUGGGAUUUUCAAAAAAAAAAAAGAUAAGUACAAAUUUCAUUGGUUCGGUAUAAAAUCGUUUUGACAUUUAAUUUUUUUUUAUUCUUUUUUAAUCCCCAAUUUAUUGAUGGGAAUUUAGACCUUAACGGUCCAUAAUUUAUGAAAUCUUUUGUUUAAUUGUUGGAAAAGAUCCUGAGUUUUCAUCCUGCUUGUGCAAGGUUUCUCAGGCCUAUUUAACUUAAUAAACAUAUCUUAAAAAGAUUUCCAUUUUGUUCUUUCUUUUGUUUCUAUCGUGGUUUUAUUAUUGUGUUGUUUUUUUUUUUCUUCUUAAAGGUUUGCAAUUUCCUUUUUUUUAUUUCAGAGAAAAAAUUGCUGGCGCCCCUUUUCUUACUUAACGUAAGAACGCCCCUGUGGCAAAUUUUUAAUCAAACAAUAAUUUUAAUAUCAACGUGAUAUCAUAUCCAUACGCAACUUUAUCAAUCGAUUCAUCGAUUGAUUAUUAAUUGCUGAACCCACCCCUUUCUGAGCUCGUCGUGGUGGCAGCACUUAAAUUGCUGCCUGUUGCAAUUUUUGCCUCGUCGCUUAUUCGCCGCUGUCGUUUGACAGCUCGAUAUAAUCCUUUUAAUUCGGUUCUUGUUUUUCUUCGCGGUUAAUUUGUUUAAUUUUAUUUUCGUUUAAUUUCAUUUUUUUAAUCUUCGGCAAAAUAAAUUGCAACAAAUUGACGCCCAUAACGUGGGGCUUGUAAAAGAAAAAUUACUUCAUUCUUCUGGAAAUCUUGUGUGGAAAAAUUUACUUGUUGUUUUUGGGAAUCGUGUGCUGUGCCUUGGUGUCUGGUUUUUCUUUAGCUAAGUUUUGUGACUUUUUGUUCUUGUGUUUUAUCAUUGAAAGUUUUACUAAUUCUUUUUUGUUUUCCUAUAGGAUAUUUGUGAAGUGGAAUAAAGGAAAAAAUCUUGUGCCGGGGAGUUGAAACAGCGGUGGGAAUCCUCAAAAAUUAACCCCAUUUGGUUGAAUGUUUUCAGUAUUGAAUUGAGUUUCAAAUAAGGAUGGUUUCCAUGGAAGUGAAACCAAACCAGAUGGACGGUCUGGUCCAGACGUAAAGUUUCAUGAGAAGUCACUCCAAGUGGAGAAUGGCCUACGGCCCAACUUUAACUCUUUAGAAAACUUUUUUUUGUAAAUUUAUAUUCUUUAAUUAUUAAUUUAAUUAAUUAAUUUAAUUAUUUUGUCCAUGUUGUUAAUCAUUUCUAACGUCAAGCAUAUUAAAAAAAAAAAAUUAUUGAAAGAAGAAUUGUAAUACAAAAAAAAAGAUUUCAUAAAUUUUUGGACGUUUAAGUUUCGGGAAACUUAGUUCGGGGUUUAAUUAACAGAUACCAAUUUGUAAUUAUCUUUUUUUCUUUCGCGCGGUUGUUUUGAAGAUAAAGUUAAAUUUAAAGUUAAAGUACAGAUUUUUCUCGAUCUUAAAUUUCAUAGUCAUUGUUCGAUAUCAAGGUAGAAAGUGGGGCUGGCUGAAUGCAGCUCCUGGAAUCGUCGUGACCUGGAACUGAAUCCAGCGGGCGGCGAAUUCCAGGAUGACUUGCAUUUAGCUGUGAGAAAAGAGCGAGUAAGCGGGAUCGCGAGAAUUUCAUCACAAGUUGAGAUCAACAUGCCGAUCUCCGAUUGGCUGUUGAUGAUGUGAUUGAAAUCCGCCACUCCAUAUUGGCUGAAAGCUAAAAUGGCGGGAGAGGUAAAGAAGAGAUAGGACAGAUCUUGAGAUCUGGCCGUCAAUUCUUGUCAAACUGUCAAGGAGUGCAGAUAACAAAAUUUUUUGAGAAAUUCGAACAAAGAGUGUGAAAAAAAAAGAUUGAGAAAAAAUUACAAAAAAAAAGUGUCGGGACUGAGGAAAAAUAAAGAAGAAAAAGGAAGUUAGUUGAGAAUAAGUUGCUAGUUUGGGAUUUUCAAAAAAAAAAAAGAUAAGUACAAAUUUCAUUGGUUCGGUAUAAAAUCGUUUUGACAUUUAAUUUUUUUUUAUUCUUUUUUAAUCCCCAAUUUAUUGAUGGGAAUUUAGACCUUAACGGUCCAUAAUUUAUGAAAUCUUUUGUUUAAUUGUUGGAAAAGAUCCUGAGUUUUCAUCCUGCUUGUGCAAGGUUUCUCAGGCCUAUUUAACUUAAUAAACAUAUCUUAAAAAGA